UGGGGAAUCUUCCGCAAUGGACGAAAGUCUGACGGAGCAACGCCGCGUGAGUGAUGACGGCCUUCGGGUUGUAAAGCUCUGUUAAUCGGGACGAAUGGUUCUUGUGCGAAUAGUGCGAGGAUUUGACGGUACCGGAAUAGAAAGCCACGGCUAACUACGUGCCAGCAGCCGCGGUAAUACGUAGGUGGCAAGCGUUGUCCGGAAUUAUUGGGCGUAAAGCGCGCGCAGGCGGAUUGGUCAGUCUGUCUUAAAAGUUCGGGGCUUAACCCCGUGAUGGGAUGGAAACUGCCAAUCUAGAGUAUCGGAGAGGAAAGUGGAAUUCCUAGUGUAGCGGUGAAAUGCGUAGAUAUUAGGAAGAACACCAGUGGCGAAGGCGACUUUCUGGACGAAAACUGACGCUGAGGCGUGAAAGCCAGGGGAGCGAACGGGAUUAGAUACCCCGGUAGUCCUGGCCGUAAACGAUGGGUACUAGGUGUAGGAGGUAUCGACCCCUUCUGUGCCGGAGUUAACGCAAUAAGUACCCCGCCUGGGGAGUACGACCGCAAGGUUG
rnacentral:rRNA from 1 species